rnacentral:lncRNA from 1 species
UAUAUAUAGAGAGAGAGAGAGAGAUUGUGAGUGAUUGUUUUUUUUAAGAAUAAAUUAGCAUGUUACCCGCUUCAUUUAUUAUACAGAUGAAUUAGACUACAGGAGUGAGGCAACUGGGCCUUGAUAGAAAAAAAAAAAAAAACUACAGUGUGUGAUUGUGAGUGAUUGUUUAUUUACUUGGAUGGUUAGGAUUGUUUGUUCUUGGAGUUUUCACUUAUAUACAGUGUGUGUGUUUGAGAGCAAUUUGAGCUCGGGACAUUCAAACUCUGAUUUCAUGUAAAUGAACCAUGUUUAAAAAGUUAAGCAAUCAAAGAGCAAUAAUUUAAUAUCUCAUAUAUAUUGUUGUCGACGAAAAACACAGAAGAGA